UACGUAGGGACCGAGCGUUGUCCGGAAUCAUUGGGCGUAAAGAGCGUGUAGGCGGCUUGCUAAGUCUUGCGUGAAAUCUCGGGGCUCAACCCCGAGCGGUCGUGGGAAACUGGCAGGCUAGAGUGCGGGAGAGGUGAGUGGAACUGCGAGUGUAGAGGUGAAAUUCGUAGAUAUUCGCAAGAACACCGGUGGCGAAGGCGGCCAACUGGACCAUUACUGACGCUGAGGCGCGAAAGCGUGGGGAGCAAACAGG
rnacentral:rRNA from 1 species